rnacentral:tRNA from 1 species
GCCGGGGUGGUGAAACUGGUAGACGCGCCGGAUUCAAAAUCCGGUUCCUUCGGGAGUGUCGGUUCGAUUCCGACCCUCGGCACCA